rnacentral:lncRNA from 1 species
GGUAGAACUUCAACCUCAAAGCCUCAUAGUCCCUCCCUUCUGUUUUCUCAAGUCAGCCCUCAAGGUUGGCAAACUAGCUACCAUUUGAUUCCUACAAUGCUGCUCAGUUUUGAUCUGCACAGUGAGUACUGGAUGGGUAGAUGUGAUUCCAGAAUGGUGACCACCUUCAAUCUGGAAGACUACAUAAGUCAUGGAGGGGAUACAGUCGACGUCGUUGGAGGGAUGACCAGCACUGAAGAAAUUGUGGGUGCUUGAUAUUUGUGACCUUGCCUGCCUAGAGCUAUAGCAAAUGCCUGACGUUUCCUACUCUGGAUGACUUCUCUGGGCUUGUUCUUUUGCCUGCUGACUAGCCAGUGGAAUCUUCUGGACCCUUCUAGCAUGGUUUAGUGCAAUGGUUCCAAAUGCUUUGGUUGCAGACCCCUUAGGGGGUGGGGCAUAAAGUUAUAGCAAGGGGUUCAUGAAUCCAUAUGUGCACCCAACAUUAUUAUUUUGAUCUUUAUUUAGCUAUCAUAAAAUAUGCUCAGUAACAUAAACAAGCAAAUGUACCUUAUGUAGACUGAAUUUCAAAUGCAUUGCAAAUAUAUGUAUUGCUAUUUUUCAAAAAAUGUAGAUGCUAUUGUGAUUAAUAAAAAAAAAUUCAUUUAAAAUUGUUAAUACA